rnacentral:tRNA from 1 species
GGGGGUGUAGCUCAGCUGGGAGAGCAACUGCCUUGCAAGCAGUAGGUCGUCAGUUCGAUCCUGAUCACCUCCAC